rnacentral:rRNA from 1 species
CCCAACUAUCCCUAUUAAUCAUUACGUCAAUCCUAGAAACCAACAAAAUAGGAUCGAUCGUCCUAUUUCAUUAUUCCAUGCUAAUGUAUUCAAGCGUUAGCCUGCUUUAAACACUCUAAUUUUUUCAAAGUAACAGUCCAGAUUCCCCGCAACACCAAAUUAAUGGCAUUACGGUUCAUCAGGAAGGAGGAAUCAGUGAGACCAGUGCAUACCUGUGGCACGACCAGCCUACUGACCCCGAAAUUCAACUA